GAAAUGCGAUAAGUAAUGUGAAUUGCAGAAUUCAGUGAAUCAUCGAAUCUUUGAACGCACCUUGCGCUCCUUGGUAUUCCUUGGAGCAUACCUGUUUGAGUAUCAUGAAAUCUUCAAAGUAAAUCUUUUGUUAACUCAAUUGGUUUCUACUUUGGUAUUGGAGGUCUUUGCAGCUUCACACCUGCUCCUCUUUGUUCAUUAGCUGGAUCUCAGUGUUAUGCUUGGUUCCACUCGGCGUGAUAAGUUAUCUAUCGCUGAGGACACUGUAAAAGGUGGCCAAGGUAAAUGCAGAUGAACCGCUUCUAAUAGUCCAUUGACGUGGACAAUACUUUUAUGAUCUGAUCUCAAAUCAGGUAGGACUACCCGCUGAACUUAAGC
rnacentral:misc_RNA from 1 species